GCCUGCGUCCGGUUGCUGCCGCCUGUCUCCAGACCGGUGAGGACGGCGAGUGUGACCUGCUGCUGUCCUGGCCGGGCCGGUACGUGGAGGGAGGCUGUCGGAUCGAGACGCGCUGGGAAGCGGUGGUCCCCCUUGUGGUCCUCAGACCGGCCGCAUCGGCGUCUGCAGGGAAAUCGUAGGAAUUGCAAAUUCCGCUGCAGGCCCAGACCAGGCCUCCCGGACACGGAAGCCGGUGAGAUAUGAGAGCCACUGGCGUAGAGGAAGCUGCGGGGCUUAGCCCAGAGAGCCGUGAAGCCGAGCUCCACCCAGUAUAAGGGUCGACAGACAAGACCUCGAGCAGGUGUCAGCGGAGGAACAGGGUCUGAGAGGAGGGACGCAAGGCGGGUGCACGGCGCACGCCGCGUUUGCAGCUGCUGGGACGAUGGAAGGGAAGCCGCGCCGGUGACAGUCGGGGGACAGACUGUGUUUAAAUCGGAACUGUUAUCUCCUUCUACGCCGACACAUUUUCCAAGUUGGAAAUCAAGAGAAUAACACGAUAGGGAUUAAAAACUGAGCCUGUACUGGUAAUCCAGAAAAUGAGUAGUAAAAUAACUGCAAGCACUUUUGCCCAUCAGACUGACAAAUAGCGAAAAAAAAAAAAAGACAACACCUAUCGUUGAUGUCUGGAGUCUGAAAGUUUCCCCACAUUUAUACUGGAAUAAACUGUACCGGGGCAGCUUGUUGGGGACAUACAUCUUGUGCUUUGAAUGGAUCAUUUACCCAUUCAUGAUAUCCUAAUGCCAUGGGUUGGUCAUUUGAAAAAUAUUGGUUCAUUGACAUUUGUGGAGCCCCUGAUUGUUGACACAUUUUAUUAUAUGACAUCCACAAAUGGUAUAGUCCGUUUUGGUAUUGCUUCUAACAGAAUACCUGAGACUGUGUAAUUUAUAAAGAACAGAGGUUUAUUUGCUUACAAUUCUGGGACAGCUGCAUCUGGUACGGGCCUUAGGCUGCUUCUACUCAUGGCAGAAAAUGGCAGGCCAACCCAUGGGUACAAGCAGAUUACAUGGCGAGAAGGAGAGAGAGAGAGAGGGGAGGUGCCAGGAUCCUUUAAACAACCAGCGGUCACGGGAACUAAUAGAGUGAGACCUCACUCACUAUCUGCUCCCCAAGGACAGCAUUAAUCCAUUCAUGACGGAUCUGGCCCAUGACCCAAACUGCUCCCAACAUUGCCAAGUUGAGGAUCAGAUUUUGACAUGAGCUUUGGGGGGACAACACAUCCUAAUUCUAUCAAUGGCAUUUGUUAAUAUCACCACUGAUUUCAUCGGAAGAGUAUGUAGCUAUUGGGAAACUGUCAAGCUCACCAUGUAAAUUAAAAUUUUCACUUGAAAGCUCAAA